UUGAAAAGAAUAUACCGUUUGCGUUGCGUUGCAGUUUAUUGAGCUCGAUCGAGAAGUGGGACGAAGAAGGCCGUUAAUAAUUCAACUACUUAAAGAAUGCGGGUUAGAUGUGGACGACUUCGAAGACAUUUGCAGUAGGCUAAACAAUCUGUUUAUGACAUUCCAGGAGAAAGAGAGGGAGACCCAAAACUACUUGUCCUGGCAUCACAUUUGAGGAGGAGAUGGAGUCGGUGAAUAUGACCUAGCCCGGGGGAGUUUCCAGAAGACGGCCCAGAACCACUGGCCGCCAGGAGUGGAGGUCCUUUGUUGUUGCUCUACAUGUCAGGAGGCAUCGGGCAGUAGCCCUGGUAGAAGCACCAUCUUGAUACCAUCAUUCAAACUCUCAUCAGCUGUAUCAUUAUAGGUGGACUAAAAGAACAAUAUUCAUGCAGAUAUAAUGAUGCCUUAAGUUGAAAUGGAAGGUGUCCUGAAUCUGCACCCAUUCAUCUGGUUUCGUAACUCCUUUCAUAGUGCUAUUGGAACCUGCUCCCUACCAGUAUAACAUCAAACAGAUUGGAAGAAUAAAGGCCAAUGGGAAGUGCCUUUUAUAUUUCUACUUGCCACAAAGCAGUCCAUGGUUUAGCGCAAUCUAAACUGGACUAUUGUAAUGCUCUUCGUGCUUGAAUUAGGGCGAUCUGGACUGACUGCAGAUAGUACAGAAUGCUGCAUCUAUUGUGCCAUUUGCCAUACGCCAACUUCGCUGGCUGCAAGUCAAGGAAAGGAUAUACAUGAACAUCAGUGUCCGUCUCCUGAUUUUCAAAGUCAAUGACAGAGAUCCAGAUUACAUGUAUUAUAAGGAAUCCCUUGUGCGUCAUUUUCAUUCUAGGCGCACUUGCCUUUUUAUUUUUGUGAUCAUUACGCACCUACAAAUUAGCUACUGGUGAUGCAACUUUCUCCACUACUGCUCCAAGGCCAUGGAAUUAGCUCCUUCCUCUCCUCCAGUUGUCAACAACCUUGGAUCAAUCCAAAUACAAUUUGAGAAGACCUACUAUAUUCCUGAUCUUUGCUCUGUACCUACAACAAUACUGUCACUGCCUGGUAAUUUGAAUUUUUUUAAAUCUCAUGUGCUGACUACAGUAGGAUGGCGUCUCAAUUCAUCCAAAUUAGACAAGGGAUAAUAAAGUAAUGUAUGACAUUCUAACCUCUGCAUUAUUUUGGUGAAAGAGCUCUAAGCAUAUAUGCAAGUAGCAAGCUGAUGAUGUCAUACUGACGUACAUUGUACAUGUACACGUAUCCCCAACUUAUCAUUUUGUAUAUAAAAUUGUGCAUUUAAUUUUGUUUACCAAGAAUGAAACAAAUCGGAUUGUAAACUGUAUUGAUGUGACUUACCUGUAUUGAUUAUUGCUGGAAGUUCUUUUGCUACAUGGGAUUGGAAGACAUACUUAUUACACACAUGAAGUAAAUUAUUAUUUUAUCUGGUAACAUGAGAACAAUAAAAAUGUGGGCAUGAUAUCAUAAACUUACAUGUAUCUACUUGCAUGUGUUGAUGACCAAUAUUUUUGUAAUUAUUAUUUUUUUAAUUUUAUCUGAUUUUGAUAAAAUUUCCACUAUUUUGCAUGGUAAAAAUUACUUUAUUUUAGAUUAUGUUGAGCCCGUAUCAUAUACAAGUACAACUUUAAAGAUAAAUUACCAGUUGUAGUAACAAUCUUAAAAUGAGUUCGAACAGAAUCCAAUAGAAUUACCAGCAAAAUAUAAAAGACAUGUGCCAUAAUUAAUUAUAGCUCGGGAAGAAAAUGUGUAAUUGCUGAGAAAUGAGCAAAAUAAGCAUGUAAUUCUAUCCAAUGUCAGGUAUUUUUCAAAUCAAUCAUAAUACACUGUCCUGUCCCACAUGUUCUUUUCUGUGUUAGUGAUCAUCAAAAUAAUUAAUUUUAAGUUCAAAAUUAGUGAUUUUACAAAAAUACAAGCUUACAUUAAUGUACCAGAUCUAGAGAUUAUGUACAAUAUUUUGACAAUUUCUCAUGAAAUAAUUGUUUGCUGCAACUGCUGUCUUUUUAAUACGUUUAAGUGAUAGUGUAAUACAACCACAAACUUUUCUUAAGAAUUAAUGUACAUGUAUGAUUCUUUCACCCAAAUUUACAUGCAUUGAUACUGUUGACUACUUGCCAAAAGUUCCUGCCAAAAGCCUUUUUUAACGAUGUACAUGCUUUUAUAGACGACCUGCCAAAACAUUGUAUUGUAUUAUAUUCAAGGUCCAACCAAAAAGAGAUGAAUAAAAUGUUUGAAGGAAAUUGAAAUUAACUUUUAAAAUGAUAGAGCUCUGUCAAUGCAGUAUUAUUACAGGGUUCCCACAGUCAUGGAAAAUCCUGGGAAAAAAAUGGUCAUGGAAAGUCAGGGAUAUGUGAAAAGUCAUGGAAUUGCAUUUACCUCUUGGCUAUGACAGCUUUCUAGUUUUUUAUGUCUCACAACUCUCAUACUCUGUGAUUGUACUCUACUAUUAUAAUUGGUGUUCAUGAUCAUAACAUGUCUGAUUUUGUAAACUGUGCCAGAAAGGAAUUAAGUCAUGGAAAGCAGCAAUUUAGUCAUGGAGAGGUCAUGGAAUUCUGUUUUCAAAUUUCUGUGGGAACCAUGAAUAGGUUUGUGCACUUGACACAGUGUGCACUACAGAUGAACUUUGUAAUGCCAUGAUAUAAACCAGUACAAUAUCUUAAAGGAAAAUAAAACCCAAAAUAUAAUACCACAUGAUACCAUUGAUAAAUACAGGACAAUGAAAAUGAAUCCACUCAUAUACCCCCAAUCCGAUGUCCCAGUAUGGAGUACCACCUUUUCAAAGUUGGCAUCUUCUGGUACAAAGUCUAUGGAUGGGGAUUAUUCCGUCAGCGAUGAACUACAUCUCUAAACGUUUGGGCAUUAUAUAUUCUAUUUCAUCGAUAAUAAAUCAAAUGUACAGAUAAAACUCAUAAAAUAUUAAUUAAAAUUUGUUUAAUAUUAUAUGAUAGGUUCAAAUUACGACUUGAUGAGUUUUAAUGAUAAAAAUUACACCCUAAUCUACGAUUUACAAAUUGGCAGCGGAAAUUGGGGUGUAAAUCUUAUCAUUAAAACUCAUCAAAUUGUAUUUUGAACCUACCAUAUAUUAAACAAAUUUUAACUAAUAUUUUUAUGAGUUUUAUCUGUACAUUUGAUUUGUUAUUGAUAAAAUAGAAUAUAUAAUGCCUGAACGUUUAGAGAUGUAGUUCGUCGCUGAUGUAAUAAUUUCCUAACUAACCCCGCGAAAAUGGCGACCUCCAUCCAGAAACUUCGAACCAUACUGUAAGAGGCCAACUUUGAAAAGGUGGUAGUCCGUAAUUGGAUUGUAUGAGUGGAUUCAUGUUGAUUGUCCUGUAUUUAUCAAUAAUAUCAUGUGGUAUUAUGUUUUGGGUGUUAUUUUCCUUUAAUUCAGAUAUUACAUGCCAGGGUAUUGUCCUAGUUUUCAUUUUCUCCAAAUACAUAUUAUCAUCUCUCGUCUAUUUCUACUUGCCCUUCAGCCUUGAAGUAAACUUGGGAUAAUUAUGCAUUUUGUUAUACGCAAUUUUGAGUACAGUGCACUUUGCCGCAGCUACUUAUAUGAUAUUACCUAUUGUAGACACAUCCUUAUGUUUUGUUCAUUUUCUUAAAAACGAUUAAGAGUUUAAUCAUUUUUGUCUUUAAGCAUAAAACAAAGAGUAAAUCAGUCCAUUCUGUAUGUGUGACCUGCAAAAAAACUACAAUGGUCGUUAAUUUGGUUUGCUGAAAAGCCAGAUAACCUUUGAGGUAACUUUUUAAAGUAUUUAGAAGAAAUGUAUCUUUUUUAAAAGUAUUUAUAUGCACUGUAACUAAUUUCUUUGAUAGUUACUAUUAUGUUACACUGUUUGUACAGUAAAGCAGCUGUUACACAAUUUUUGUCAAUAGCAAAUCUAAACCAGUAUUGUAAAUUGAUGACUCUAUGAGCUAAAUACCAGUACUUUCUAUAUCA